UUCUAAAUUAAAUAUUUGGCCUGACAUCUUAUUUGUUCUUCCUCUAGCCAAUUAUACUUAUUCAAUUGGACUACUUUUAUUUUAGCUAUUUAUUCCCGAUUCCUAAUUUAAAAUCUGCAGUCAAAUCCUUGGUCAACACUGAUUCCUUCUCCUAAUUUCUUUCUACACGCUUUUAUUUCCUUCCUCAAUCUCCACUCCCUAAAAUCUCUCUAACAAACAAAUCAAUCUCUACAUUAUAUAUCUUCCCCACAACUGCAUCUGUUAGCAUCUGCCGUUCCAUUCCACAAUUCCAGUGCAGUUUUCUUCUCUUCCACAAAGGUAAUUCUCCUCAUUCCAUUGAAUACGAAAAUGUGCAUACUUAUUGACUCCAUAAUUUAACAUCACAGUGUGAAGGAGAAACCGAGAGAGCUCUGAUUACUUUCUGUUGUGCAAAUUUUGCUUCUUUCCAAAAGGUGAACUUGUGCAUGUUGGUUGCGGUUGGAAAAGGAAGUGAUUGAGGAGUAAGCUUGUGAGAUUGAGCGACGACGGGCGUGGAGGAUGUUGAGCAUAAUUCAUGGAUUAUUUAUGUUUGGCUUAAUAUUGUUGGAUAUGUCGUGUCUUCAUACUCGGCAUUUUCCGUGUCUUGAACGCUUCCGCUAGGUGUCUUUUCUUUAAAAUUGUUUUAGUAUGGAGAACCUAACUCUUUUCAAAAUUGUCUACUUUCUAGUCUUUUUUUUUUAGAAUUGGUACUUCGUUGAAAUGAUACUAUGUUGUUUUCCAAGUUAUUUCAAUUAUUUAAAUAUUUUG